GACGAACGCUGGCGGCGCGCCUAACACAUGCAAGUCGAACGAGCGAGAGGAGGUUUACUUUCUCAAGCGAGUGGCAAACGGGUGAGUAACGCGUGAGGAACCUGCCUCAAAGAGGGGGACAACAGUUGGAAACGACUGCUAAUACCGCAUAAGCCCACGACCCGGCAUCGGGUAGAGGGAAAAGGAGCAAUCCGCUUUGAGAUGGCCUCGCGUCCGAUUAGCUAGUUGGUGAGGUAAUGGCCCACCAAGGCGACGAUCGGUAGCCGGACUGAGAGGUUGAACGGCCACAUUGGGACUGAGACACGGCCCAGACUCCUACGGGAGGCAGCAGUGGGGAAUAUUGCACAAUGGGGGAAACCCUGAUGCAGCGACGCCGCGUGGAGGAAGAAGGUCUUCGGAUUGUAAACUCCUGUUGUUGAGGAAGAUAAUGACGGUACUCAACAAGGAAGUGACGGCUAACUACGUG
rnacentral:rRNA from 1 species